rnacentral:lncRNA from 1 species
CCAUGCUCAGCUAAUUUUUUGUAUUUUAGUAGAGAUGGGAUUUCACUGUGUUGCCCAGGCUGGUCUCAAACUCCUGAGCUUAGGCAACCCGCCCGCCUCGGCCUCCCAAAGUGCUGGGAUUACAGGUGUGCACCACUGCGCCUGGCCCCAUAUCUCUUUUCAUCCUCUCAACCAAUUCAAUGAAGGGAGGAUAUAUUAUUCCCAUUUUACCGUAGAGAAAAGAAGGACGCAAGAAGCUUCAAAUCACUUGCCCCAAAUCACCUGCCAGCAAGGGGCAGAGCCAGAACUGGGAGCCCAGACUCCUGACCCAGGCCAAAGACUUUCCUUGAGAAUCCAGCUGCGUUGGUCCCUACACCCCUUGGCCACCACUGGGUUUGGGGAAUGAGCUCUGCCAUCAUUCUCCUGUCUCUCUACCUCCAUGAUGCUUUUCUGCAGGGCCUUUCUCUCCACUUGGCAGGGAGAAGGAAUUCCAGGGAAAACCCAGCUUAAGUCCUGCAUCCUCCCUGAAGGCUUCCCUGCCCAUCCCAGGCCUCAGUAACUGCUUCAGUAUAAUGACAACAUUGGACGUUAUUUACUGACCACAGGACUAUGCUUCAGCACCUACCCUAAGGUAUUUUAUUCAAUCCUCCAGGCUUUUGCCCUGGCUGAGGGUUCUGCCUGAGCUUCUCUCCCCUCAGAUACCUGCAUCUCCUUGAAGGACCACCUUCUCUGGGAGGUCCAACCUAACCAUCCUUUCCCAGGUCUUUGUACCCGCUUUAUUUCUUUCUAUAGCUCAUGUCACCUUCCGAAGAGUAUUUAAUUUACUGAUUAUUGUGCUCAUUGCCUAUCUUCCUCCUCUUUAAGUUCCAAAAGGACAGAGGCUGUAUUUUGUUUACUGUUGCAUCCCAAGCACCUAGAACAGUGCCUGACAUACGGUAGGUGUACAAGCGAUAUCUGUCAAAUGACAGGAGGAAAACUCAAAACCCUUUGAGGCAGGUGUGUUGUUUUCACAGCAGAGAGGAACUAGGGCUCUAGUUCUGGGUUAGGUGGCUUGUCCAAGGUCACAGAGCUGGCCAUACCCAGCUGUGUAUUGGGCUGCUGAGUAUGAGGCUGUUUGGGGUGGGCCUUGAGCCUGAGCCUGUUCUGAGCUUUGUGUGUGUGUGUGUGUGUGUGUGUGUGUGUGUUUGGUGGCUUCCUAGGGGAUUUCUGCCUGCAUUCCAACCAGCAGGUCCUUCCAGGCACCCCUCCCCUCCUUUACAGGGCUUCUUCCCUUCCUGCAGCUCCUUUCAGCCCCUGCUUUCUUGCCCCAAGCCUGGAGAGGCCUGUGAGUGCAGUCCAGCUAACUUCCCUCCCCUGAGCUCAUGGGUCCCUGCCUGGGCUGAAGUCCACACCGGGAGCCCAAGGUGCCCCUGGAAGGCCCCCACCCUGGCCUCCGAGUGGUUCCUCUCCCCAGAGAUGUAAAUCCGGGCCCCAGAGUGGCCACACAGAACAUACAUCUUAAACAAACACUUCUCCUUGCUGUUUAUCUCCCUGGCCUUUAAACAAACUCUUUCAAAGGUUUCUGCUGAUAGGAGAGAUUUACUGAAAACCAUUCCUUGCUUAA